UUCUUCAAUUUCAUUCAUUUGUUUCAGAGAGAGAGAGAGAACUCGAGCUUAUGAGAAGAGAAGAGAAAAAAAACCCUAAUUUUAUUAUUCACCUUCUUUUUUAAAUUCAUUUUUCUCACAAAUUGGAGCUCCGAUCGACAGUCCGUUUGUAUCCACGCGUUCCUCUUAAUUUCUUCUACAUUUCUAUAUCACGUUUGCGAUGAGUAAUCGCAAGAACUCUAUUCCACUCCUCUAUUUUUAACUGAUUUCCCAUUUUGGAUAGUGUGGAUAUUGAAAUUAGAGAUUUUGGUAUUUUAGGAGAAACUCAAGCUCAAUUUUUAGCGGGAUUUUAACUCAUGAUCAUGUAGAGUAAGAUUGUAUAGAGUUGCUUCAGUGCUUGGUUUGGUUGGUGUUGAUUAAAGCUUGGAUUAAUUGAAGCUUGGAUUGAUCAGAGAGAAAAGUUUAAGAAGUUGGAACUACCAUCACUAAGUUUUCACUUCUACUUGGAACGAAAAAGAAUAGACCAUUUCUUACCUUGGAGGGUUGAGUGAAAGCCAUGGAGAGAGCAAUGAUCUCAGAACCAUUCCCUCUUAUGACAGCAGGUUUCAACUCCACAAGCU